GAGGGUAUAGCUCAAGUGGUAGAGCACAUGCUUAGCAUGCAUGCGGUCAUGGGUUCAAUCCCCAGUACCUCCU
rnacentral:tRNA from 1 species